UACGUAGGGUGCAAGCGUUGUCCGGAAUUAUUGGGCGUAAAGAGCUCGUAGGCGGUUUGUCGCGUCUGCUGUGAAAACUCGGGGCUUAACCCCGGGCCUGCAGUGGGUACGGGCAGGCUAGAGUGCGGUAGGGGAGAUCGGAAUUCCUGGUGUAGCGGUGAAAUGCGCAGAUAUCAGGAGGAACACCGGUGGCGAAGGCGGAUCUCUGGGCCGAUACUGACGCUGAGGAGCGAAAGCGUGGGGAGCGAACAGG
rnacentral:rRNA from 1 species